UCUAGCUGAUCAAAUUUCUUGACCCGCAAGGCUUGAGUUAGACUGACCCGUUUUGAAAACUCUACCUAAUACAAAGUGGAAAGGGAUUUGAAGCCCAUCCAAAUCACGAUUGAAUUAUAAGGUGCAACCAUAGUAGAGAUAGAGAAACCCCAGCAAGCAAGCAGUUCCAAAUCCAAAAAGGACGAGCCUUUCCUUUUCGUUUGCAAAGACUGAGUCUUUUCAAUCUCAAUUAAUUGCAAAAGAUUGAGUCUUGUUUCAAUCUCAGGUAAUUGCAAAAGAUGAAGCAGAAAAAGAAGAAUGAGGGAAAGUUAGCAAAUAGUAGUAUUUGUGCUCCAAAGAUACAGAAGAAGAAGAAGAAAACAAAAAAGGCUAAUCAACUUAUUGUUUGCAGUGCGCCCCAAAAGCUUAAUCAGAUCUCCAGAGGCAAGUGCGUUGCGGAGCCAUCAAAUGAUGAUAAAACAGACCAGAUGGACGUUGAUCGGAGGAGGACCACUGCAAUUCACUUCAAAGAGGAAAUAAUUAUGGAGAUCCUCAGCAGAUUACCGGUGCAGUCUCUACUUCGAUUCAAAUGUGUUUCGAAAUUUUGGGAGGCAUUAAUCUCUGAUCCUUACUUUAAGAUGAAGCAUCUCAAUUUUGCCAAAAAUGACCAAGAUUCCCAAAAGCUUCUUAUUAGCCAAAUGUGCCCUAAGGAUUUUAUAUUUUCCAUAUAUUGUUGUCCUUUGUCGUCUCUUCAACCGGUUGAGGAUGUGCAGAAACUUGAUUUCCCUUUAAACCCUAAACCAAAUCGAUUCGUAAUCCGUUGUUGUUACGAUGGCUUGGUUGUUAUCCAGGUUCUUGAUAAUUUGGAUGGUUACCGCCACAAUCUUUUGUUGUGGAACCCCUCCACAAGAGAAUCAAUAGUACUUCCCGCUCUAGAAUUUAAACUGGAUGAUUGUUCUCGUUUUGGAAUGGGUUAUGACUCAACCAGUGGUGAGUAUAAGAUCCUUCAUGUGCACCAGGUCUUGGAUAGAUCCAUAACUAAUGAAAUUCUCGCGUUGAAAGGUGGCUUCUGGAGAAGAAUUGAUAAACAUCCUCGUGGCUUUUUGAUUAACUUGUUUUUUACGCCGUCUUUGGCAUUUGUACAUGCGGCAUUUCAUUGGAUCGGUCUUUCAAGAAAAAAACAUUUUGUGGUGGUUUCAUUUAGUAUUUCAAAUGAAGUGUACAGAGAGAUACCCUUGCCAGAGGAAACGUUAAGCUUGAGGGGCCGCGCUUAUUUUGGCGUUUCAAUGUUGGAAGGAAUGCUUUGUAUUCAUUCUAAUACUUUACAUCAGAAAAGGUUUACUUUUAAGUUAUGGGUAUUGAAACAGUAUGAUGUCAAGGAAUCUUGGAUUCCAUUGGUUGCCUUAGAAGAUCCUUUGAUUUUUAAUGCCGUACCGACAUAUAAGUUUGCGAAUGGUGAAGUGCUAUUCCUUUGCAAUUUUUUUGGAGAUUUAGAGAAGGCGUUUAGGACACCCAGUGGACCAUUUGUAUCAUGGCCUCAAUGUGAGAUGCAUCUGGAUGGAUACGCUUUUACAGAAAGCUUGAUCUCUCCGAAAUCACUUACUUAUUAGUUUCUUAGACGAAUAACCCGAAUCAAAGUUCGAAAAGACGAAUAAUCCGACCCGAAGCCCAAAUUGAUUGAAUGACGCAUGGCACCCGGACACUUCAAAUCCUGGAUCCGCCUCUGCAUCUACUACUUUCCUUUUGAGCCGAGGGUCUAUCGGAAACAGCCUCUCUACCCCAUAAAAGUCAAGAUGCAGGUGACGCAAAGAAUAUGGAAUACACCUUUGAUCAAAUGCGUGCCGAAGGGAUGAAAGCCGACACCAAGACCUUUUGCUGUCUGGUCAGAGGAUAUGCAAAUGCAGGCCUUUUCCAUAAGGUGAUCAACACUGUCCAGUUAGCUGGGAAAUUGGAGAUCCCUGAAAACACUUCCUUAUUCAAUUCUGUUAUUUAUGCGUGUGCAAAGGCCGAGGAUAUCCUGGAGAUGGAGAGAGUUUUCAAGUGAAUGAAAGAUAAUCAAUAUCGACCCGAUCUCAUGACUUACUGUACUAUGAUUGCUGCAUACCAGAAAGAAGGCAUGACAGACAAAGUUUAUGAUUUGGAACAAGAAAAGCUCAUGAUGGCUUCCAGUCAGUCCAAUGACAGCCAGAAUGAUGAGGAAAAACCAGAGCUGCUGCCUACUUGAGAGCUAAGUAUGCAAUAUUGGAGCGUCCAAGCUACAUAAUUUUAUUUGUUUUAUAUAGAACUUUAGAUUGCCUAAAUCAUCUAGCUGUCUUUCUGAAAUUGAUAAUUGUCCACUGUCAUUGAGUUCAUGAAGUUUAGAGGUGACCCAGGCAUGACUAAAUACUUAUUACUGUGUCAGUAGAGUUGAUGGUUAAUUCUGGUGUACUUCAAAUUGAAAUGAAGAUUUUGUUUUCUGUUUAUAUAA